CCUACGGGGGGCAGCAGUGAGGAAUAUUGGUCAAUGGGCGGAAGCCUGAACCAGCCAAGUCGCGUGAGGGAUUAAGGCCCUAUGGGUCGUAAACCUCUUUUGUCAGGGAGCAAAGGCGUCCAUGUGUGGGCGUAUGGAGAGUACCUGAAGAAAAAGCAUCGGCGAACUGCGUGCCAGCAGCAGCGGUAAUACGGAGGAUGCGAGCGUUAUACGGAUUUAUUGGGUUUAAAGGGGGCGUAGGCGGGACCUUAAGUUAGCGGUAAAAUUGCGGUGGUAAACGCAGUAGAGUCGUUGAAACUGGGGUGCUUGAGUGGGCGAGAAGUAUGCGGAAUGCGUGGUGUAGCGGUGAUAUGCAUAGAUAUCACGCAGAACCCCGAUUGCGAAGGCAGCAUACCGGCGCUCAACUGACGCUGAGGCACGAAAGUGCGGGUAUCGAACAGGAUUAGAUACCCCUGUAGUC
rnacentral:rRNA from 1 species